rnacentral:rRNA from 1 species
GACGAACGCUGGCGGCGUGCUUAACACAUGCAAGUCGAACGGAAAGGCCCUGCUUUUGUGGGGUGCUCGAGUGGCGAACGGGUGAGUAACACGUGAGUAACCUGCCCUUGACUUUGGGAUAACUUCAGGAAACUGGGGCUAAUACCGGAUAGGAGCUCCUGCUGCAUGGUGGGGGUUGGAAAGUUUCGGCGGUUGGGGAUGGUCUCGCUGGUUAUCAGCUUGUUGGUGGGGUAGUGGCUUACCAAGGCUUUGACGGGUAGCCGGCCUUGGAGGGGGACCGGCCACAUUGGGACUACGAGACGCCCCAGUAUCCUACGGGAGGCAGCGGGGGGGAAUAUGGCACAAUGGGCGGAAGCGUGAUGCAGCAACGCCGCGUGCGGGAUGACGGCCUUCGGGUUGUAAACCGCUUUCGCCUGUGACGAAGCGUGAGUGACGGUAAUGGGUAAAGAAGCACCGGCUAACUACGUG